AAAAACUCAAAAAUGCUUUCAGCAGUUCUCAUGAAACUUUUGUGAAUUGUUUAUAUCUAUUUAUUUAAGCUCAUUUUCGCUAUAUAAAUUUUAGAUCUCACAUUUCUGGGAAUGUUAUGGGAAUUUAGUAAUGAAAAGGAGUGAUUUUCUAGUUUUCAGACAAUAACCUUAAAGUGCUUUGACCAUUUUUCGUGCAACUUUGUUGACCUAUUUAUAUCUAUUAAGAUACCACCC
rnacentral:lncRNA from 1 species